ACAGAGCCGCUGAGAUUGUUUCAGACCCACCUUUCUGUCCAGAUGUCCUUUCUCUCUGCAUUUUUACGUCUACAACUUUUGGAUGCAGCCACUGUCGCCUGGUGAUUUUUGUUCAGCGUUUUUGAUUAAGAGGUUGUGGCAUGUUAAUCUCUGUCACGCAUUUCUCUGUGGACUUUUCCAGCCUGCCGUUCUUUCAUCUGGACCUCCUUUAGCCUUCAAAGCCUCUAUUCCAGACCAGAUUUGAGGCAAAUUAGAGUGUGGACUUCCAAGCUAAUUACCCUUAUCCUGACUCCCAGAGAGCCAACCGCCUUCUCAAUAACUUACAGAGGCUGGAAUGAAAAAUGUUGAAAUACCACAUGAAAGACCUUGCUUUGGGGUUUCCAACUGAGACUAGAGGCUGAAGUGCUGAAAAUUCUCACAAGGGAUCCAGACUUCAUGAUAUUUCCAGACAGAUCCUGUACCCUCAGAGACAGGGGUAAAC